rnacentral:tRNA from 1 species
AAAAAGAUAAGCUAAACUUUAAGCUAUUAGGUUCAUACCCUAAAUAUAGGUACCAAACCUUCUUUUUA